CCUACGGGUGGCUGCAGUGGGGAAUAUUGGACAAUGGGGGCAACCCUGAUCCAGCCAUGCCGCGUGUGUGAAGAAGGCCCUCGGGUUGUAAAGCACUUUCAGUGAGGAAGAACGCCUGGUGGUUAAUACCCAUCAGGAAAGACAUCACUCACAGAAGAAGCACCGGCAUAACUCCGUGCCAGCAGCCGCGGUAAUACGGAGGGUGCGAGCGUUAAUCGGAAUUACUGGGCGUAAAGCGCGCGUAGGUGGCUUGAUAAGCCGGUUGUGAAAGCCCCGGGCUCAACCUGGGAACGGCAUCCGGAACUGUCAAGCUAGAGUGCAGGAGAGGAAGGUAGAAUUCCCGGUGUAGCGGUGAAAUGCGUAGAGAUCGGGAGGAAUACCAGUGGCGAAGGCGGCCUUCUGGACUGACACUGACACUGAGGUGCGAAAGCGUGGGUAGCAAACAGGAUUAGAUACCCGUGUAGUC
rnacentral:rRNA from 1 species